rnacentral:tRNA from 1 species
GCCCAGGUGGUGGAAUUGGUAGACACGCUGUCUUGAGGGGGCAGUGCCCGCGAGGGCGUGCUGGUUCGAGUCCAGUCCUGGGCA